rnacentral:rRNA from 1 species
GCGCCAGACUCCUACGGGAGGCAGCAGUGGGGAAUAUUGCACAAUGGGGGAAACCCUGAUGCAGCAACGCCGCGUGAGUGAGGAAGUAUUUCGGUAUGUAAAGCUCUAUCAGCAGGGAAUAGAAAAGAAGGUACCUGAAAAAGAAGCCCCGGCUAACUACGUGCCAGCAGCCGCGGUAAUACGUAGGGGGCAAGCGUUAUCCGGAUUUACUGGGUGUAAAGGGGGCGCAGACGGCAGCGCAAGCCAGGAGUGAAAGCCCGGGGCCCAACCCCGGGACUGCUCUUGGAACUGCGCGGCUGGAGUGCAGGAGGGGCAGGCGGAAUUCCUGGUGUAGCGGUGAAAUGCAUAGAUAUCACGAAGAACCCCGAUUGCGAAGGCAGCAUACCGGCUCCACACUGACGCUGAGGCACGAAAGCGUGGGUAUCGAACAGGAUUAGAUACCCGAGUAA